rnacentral:rRNA from 1 species
UACGUAGGGUGCGAGCGUUGUCCGGAAUUAUUGGGCGUAAAGGGCUCGUAGGCGGUCUGUCGCGUCGGGAGUGAAAACUCAGGGCUUAACCCUGAGCCUGCUUCCGAUACGGGCAGACUAGAGGUAUGCAGGGGGAGAACGAAUUCCUGGUGUAGCGGUGGAAUGCGCAGAUAUCAGGAGGAACACCGGUGGCGAAGGCGGUUCUCUGGGCAUUACCUGACGCUGAGGAGCGAAAGUGUGGGGGAGCGAACAGG